UACGGGGGGGGCAAGCGUUGUUCGGAAUUACUGGGCGUAAAGGGCUCGUAGGUGGCCAACUAAGUCAGACGUGAAAUCCCUCAGCUUAACUGGGGAACUGCGUCUGAUACUGGAUGGCUUGAGUUUGGGAGAGGGAUGCGGAAUUCCAGGUGUAGCGGUGAAAUGCGUAGAUAUCCGGAAGAACACCUGAGGCGAAGGCGGCUUGCUGGGCAUGAUCUGACGCUGAGGCGCGAAAGCGUGGGGAGCAAACAGG
rnacentral:rRNA from 1 species